AUCGCUUCUCGGCCUUUUGGCUAAGAUCAAGUGUAGUAUUUCUUUAUUUUUAUGCCUCGAAUUGUAUCGUCCUCUCGUAUUUGAAUCAACAAUAUUUCCAAAAUCAGAAUAAACAACAAUGGAGACAAAGGGCAGCCCUGUCUUGUACCUUUGCUUAUUUUCAGUUUUUUGAUCAAAUCAUC